GGCUUUAUAGUCAAUUAUGAUUUUAAAUUGCAAAUUUAAAGGUAGAGGUUCUCUUUUAAAGCCU
rnacentral:tRNA from 1 species